UAGGGAAACUCUACAUCAACGUGCCGUAGAUAGUCUUGAGGACCUUGAGAUAGUACCUGAUCAUACUAGCAAUUGUAUCAACGGUUAGCUACUAGCAAGAGGAAAUGAUGGUUAGUCUUGGGCGGGUUGUUUAUCUCGGAUAGGCGUGACUAGUGAAAUAAAGUAUCUCAAACUUUCUUAUCUGGUGGAAAUUUUGCGUGAUCAGCUAAUAGUAGUUUGAUCAAACUUUGUACCUUUAAGUUUCCAACUUUUGUACAUUACCGUUUGUA